rnacentral:rRNA from 1 species
CCUACGGGUGGCAGCAGUGGGGAAUAUUGGGCAAUGGGCGCAAGCCUGAUCCAGCAACGCCGCGUGAAGGAAGAAGGCUUUCGGGUUGUAAACUUCUUUCAGGAGGGAAGAGCAGAAGACGGUACCUCUUGAAAAAGAUACGGCUUACUACGAGCCAGCAGACGCGGUAAUACGUAGGUGGCAAGCGCUGUCCGGAUUUACUGGGUGUAAAGGGCGUGCAGGCGGGAGGACAAGUCAGAUGUGAAAUCGCGGGGCUUAACCGCGGAACUGCAUUUGAUACUGGUUAUCUUGAGUGCCGGAGAGGGCAGCGGAAUUCCUUGUGUAGCGGUGAAAUGCGUAGAUAUGAGGAAGAACACCAGUGGCGAAGGCGGAUGACUGGACGGCGACUGACGGUGAGGCGCGAAAGCGUGGGGAGCAAACAGGAUUAGAUACCCCUGUAGUC